AUCUAUCUACACCCAUUGGCAUUUUAGAGAAGCAUACGACUCGCGAAAGAUAUCCAACGGCAUAGAAUAAACAUGCAGAAUGGUGUAUUACUUCAGAGCGGGAGUUGCAGAAUAUCUAGUUGAUUUAUAAGGCAGAGGUAAGGCAGCAUCUGAUGAAUUGUCUCCUGUUCUGAACGACCCCGUGUUUGUUUCAAUUUUUUCACCUUUCCAAUGAGUGCUAUACAAAAGAUGUAAGCAGCGGGAGAAACGUAAGGACACACCCCACCGUAUAGAUAGGGCAACAACAAACUACAUUUAAAUUACAUUUUGCCGACUUCCACUUGAAUAAAUUACACCAAAUAUUGGCUCUCAA